CCGCCGGGAGGGGCUUGGGGACAGGUGUGUAAGCGUCCAGCACCGCAUUUGGGACAGAGACGGGGGGUGCACGACUUGGUGGCGCAGUGAGGGACCCGCUGAAGAGCAGCGAGGGCGCCGGGAGGCAGCGCAGAGCGGACGGCCGUCCAGGAAGGAAGCCCCGCACGGCCGGGGCCGGAGGGCGGGCCCAGAGGGCACACGGCGGGCGCGACCAGGUCUGCUGGGCGUCCCAGGCUUUCUGGGCGGCUGUGCGUUACGACAGAGCCCCUCCCUGUCAGUCCGCAGAGGAGGGGUACCCCCAAAGCCCCGCCACACCGGGCAGCGUGCGCGGCACGUGUGGCCGGCGGGCACCUGCAGCGCGCCCAGGCCAGAUCCCGUGUGACUCCUCGUCCUCGCCUGUCCUUGGCGUCCUUGGCUUCGUGACGUCCUUGCUCCCGUGCCCCUGGGCGGUUCCGAGGAGAGCUCACAGGAACUGGAGACUUUGAAGAAAUCGUGGAUCCGGGGCCGGGCAGGGAAGGACCAGGACUGGCUGAAGGGUCCCGAGCCAGGAGGAAAUGGGUGCUCACAGACGCAAAGUCCCGCCCCACAGAAACGUAUUAACUGUGGGGAGCGAAGCUUACCUUUGCCGCAGGGAACCCGGGCAGAUCUUCCUUCAUCAAAUGGCCAAAUCAGACCAGGCCCCCACGCCCCUGUGGGACCCCUCCAGGACCCAGCGUCCCCUCCGGGACGUCCCCGGAUGACCAGCCCCUCCCGCAGCAAACACAGCAAACCACGCGCGGAGCCGCACAAGGGAGCAGCAGGCAGACGCCAGCGACGGCCGUUCUGGAGAACGACCCGUUGUCCCGGCGAGGGUCGAGGUCGUGCCAGGCGAGGACAGGUCACUCCAGGCUGAAGGACAUUAAAGGGACGUGGGCUGAGUGAUAUUCCACGGUGUGCCCGGACCGCAUCUGCUUAUCCAGUCACCCAUGGAUGGACACUGGGGUCAUUCCACCCUUUGGCUCCUGUGAGUGGAGCUGCUGUGAAGGUGGUGCAUGUGUAUCUAUUUUGCUUCCAGUUCUCUUGGGUGUAAACCCAGAAGUGGGAUUACUGGAUCCUCUGGCAGUUCUAUUUUUAAGUUUGCGGGGGAACCGUCCACACCGUUUUCCAGCACGGUUGUUCCACUUUACGUUCCCACCAGCAGGGCGCAGGGUUCCAGUUCCUCCACGUCCCUGCCAGCCUGUGUGGUUUUCUGGGUGUCUGUCUGUCUGUCUGUCCACCUACCAUCUAAUAGGCGUGAAGCAGCCCCGUUCGAUUUUUGAAAUAAUGUAUUUCUUAGGAAAACGGUUGGGGUGCCGCUGCCUUACCGCGGGUGCACUUACCAGGCUCCCGGCCCGUUUCUUUCCCAGAGAAAGGACCUUUCCCAGCCCUCCUUGUCCAGCAGGGCCACCCAACCACUGCCACUCCGGGCCUUCCUGGGCGCUGCCUCCCCACCAAGUGACAGCAGGUACUCACCGACCACACGAUGCCGUGGCCAGGCCACCGGAGGGAAGCCCCCCCAUCCCCGGAGGAGAGUCCCACAGGAGGAGGCCCCCGUCCCCGUGGCCCAGAACUCACCUUGGAUUCUGCUCAGCUGUUGCAGCAGCUACUGUCUCUGCUGGAGGAUCCGGGGCCCAGGCGUCUGAAGGCUGGUGGCGCCCACGGGUGUGCGUGCGUUGCACACGUGCUCGGGACCGCCCGUGCCCCUGCACAUAGGAGCCCAGCUCCCAGGCUCAGGACCCGGUGGGGCCAGCGCUGUGGGGAGGUGCCCACCCUGGAGGGCUCGGAUGGUCCGAGUGGUGCCCGCCCCCCGCCGCCCCAGCAGCCCGGCUCCCGGAGCCCACGAGGGAGGCCGGGGUGGCGCGGGGUGCGGCCCUGGCCCCGGGAGCGGCUUAGCCUCCAUUCCCCGGGUCACUGUGUCAGCCCAGCCGCCGGCCCGUCAGCCAGAUGGUCGCUUCAGCAGAGAGAGAAACACCUGACACGCCAUCUCAAACUGAUUUCACGGCGGCCUCCGGAGAGGCCCUGCGAGCUCCUGACAGUCUGAUCUGUUGUGAAUAAAUAUGACAAAAUUGCCAAUUACGGGAGGGGGGCUUCAUUGUCAGGCCGGCCGGGCUGGCCGUGGCUGUGCACUCCGGGGCCGACCCCGGCGGGAGCCCGCCGGCGGACAGAGAGCGCCGGGCCC